rfam:Flavobacterium sp. LM5 Flavobacterium_sp_LM5_contig1, whole genome shotgun sequence.
CCCUAGCCCCGAUAGCAGUGGAUAUCCUUUUCUAUUUUUUCUUUAAAAAUAGAAAAGAUAAGAACGGAUAGCGGGAUUAGCU